CCUUACUCUAGUAGUUUACACACACACACACACCAUCUGCAUCUGGAGGAGCCAAGACACAAAAACACUACUGAAGUACCAAGAAGAAACGGGACACAGAAGGCAGAAACUGAGAAAUACCCGAGGAAAGAAACAUUCAUCAGUAUACGAAGACUGAAAAUGGGAAAUGAUAACUCGGGUGAAACGAGGCAGCGUAGGAGAGCUGAACAAGCUGAGGCGGAAAAGUGGAGAAUGCAGGAAGACUAUAGAAGACUGCAACAAGAUGCAGAAAUACAGAGACUAAGACAGGAGCAAAAUGCAGCGGAGGAAAGAUUGAGAAUUCAAGCAGAAAAACAAGAACUCCAGGAACAAUACCAAAAAGUUGAAAAUGAAAGAAAUAUACAGAGAAUGAAAGAAGAAGAGAAGCAAAAAAUCUACAAAGAGAACAGAUUUAAAGAGGAAGAAGAAAGGAAAAGAAUUCACAUAGAGAAGGAAAAUGCAGAAAAUGAAAACAAGACAGUUAGUUAAACUGUUUGUAUAGUUUAUUAAUAGGGGACAUUUUCAUCAUACAGAAAGAUAUGUGCACAUCUCCUAAAACAUUUUUUAGAUUUUUCUUAUUCCAUACAUCUAGUGUAAAGCACUUGGAAAACUUUUUGUUUUUAAAGAUGCUAUCAAAAUAAAGUUCUACAUCUUAUUUUCACCACC